rnacentral:rRNA from 1 species
GAUGAACGCUAGCGGUGCGCCUAACACAUGCAAGUCGAGCGAUAUAGUGGCGAACGGGUGAGUAAUACGUUGGAACCUGCCCCGAACUCAGGGAUAGCCAUCCGAAAGGGUGAUUAAUACCGGAUAGUCCCGAAAGGGUAAAGAUUUUUCGGUUCGGGAGGGGCCUGCGGCCUAUCAGCUUGUUGGUAGUGUAAUAGACUACCAAGGCUAUGACGGGUAACUGGUGUGAGAGCAUGACCAGUCACAAUGGAACUGAGACACGGUCCAUACUCCUACGGGAGGCAGCAGUGAGGAAUCUUCCGCAAUGGGCGAAAGCCUGACGGAGCGACACCGCGUGAAGGAUGAAGGCCUUUUGGUUGUAAACUUCUUUUCUGGGGGAAUAAA